rnacentral:rRNA from 1 species
UACGGAGGGUGCAAGCGUUGUCCGGAUUUAUUGGGUUUAAAGGGUGCGUAGGCGGCCAUAUAAGUCAGUGGUGAAACCCUUGGGCUUAACCUAAGGAGUGCCAUUGAUACUGUAUGGCUUGGGUUAUCUCUGGGCGGGCGGGAAUGGAUGGUGUAGCGGUGAAAAUGCGCAGAUAUCAGGAGGAACACCGGUGGCGAAGGCGGGGUCUCUGGGGCCCAUACUACU